rnacentral:misc_RNA from 1 species
CCCAACUAUCCCUAUUAAUCAUUACGUCGAUCCUAGAAACCAACAAAAUAGGGUCAAACGUCUUAUUUCAUUAUUCCAUACUAAUGUAUUCAAGCUAAUGCCUGCUUUAAACACUCUAAUUUUUUCAAAGUAACAGUCCUAACUCCCCAUAAUACCAAAUUAAUGACAUCAUGGUUCGUCAGAAGGGAGAAAUCAAUGAUACCAGUACGUACCAGAGACACGACCGAUAUAUUGAUCCCAAAAUUCAACUACGAGCUUUUUAACUGCAACAACUUUAAUAUACGCUAUUGGAGCUGGAAUUAUCACGGCUGCUGGCACCAGACUUGCCCUCCAA